AUGAUUGUCUUCCUAAUCUGGUGCAGCGUGCUUAUAGCGUUGCUAACAUUGUACUUUCGAAAGAUUUACUCAAGAUUCAGUGAUCAUGGUGUCAAUAACCCCAAAGUUGUUCCCCUUUUCGGGAAUAUGUCGAGGCUGUUUUGGGGUAUUGACAAUUUCACCGCAGAUCUGGAGGUGUACUACAACAAUUUCCCUGGAGAUAGAUUCGUGGGCAAAUAUGAAUUUUUAAGGCCAGUUAUAAUGGUUAGAGAUUUGGAUUUAGUGAAAAAAAUUGCAAUCAAAGAUUUUGAGCACUUCCUAGAUCACAGGACUUUUACAGAUGAAAAAGUUGAUCAGCUGUUUUCAAGAAACCUGAUAUCUCUAAAAGGUCAAGAAUGGAAAGACAUGCGAUCGAGUUUGAGCCCAGCAUUUACAAGUUCAAAGAUAAAGCUGAUGGUCCCCUUUAUGGAAGAAGUUGGAGAACAGAUGAUGCGCGCUCUGAAAAAGAAAAUCAGUGAAUCUGCAAAUGGUGCUGUGGAUAUCGAUUGCAAAGAUUUGACAUCACGUUAUGCCAACGACGUAAUAGCCUCUGUCGCCUUCGGACUGAAAGUGGACUCCCAUACGGAUGAAAAGAAUCAGUUCUAUGAAAUGGGAAAAGUAGUUACAGGCACUGGCCUCAGGCAGAUCCUUAUAUUUCUACUUAUGUCAACUUGUCCUCCCAUUGCCAGCAUAUUUAAGCUUACACUAUAUCCUAAAGAAGUUAAGGACUUCUUUGUGAAUUUGGUUUUGAAUACCAUGAAAGACAGGGAGUCACGCAAUAUUAUUAGACCAGAUAUGAUUCAUCUCCUUAUGGAGGCGAAAAAAGGUCAACUGUAUCAUGAUGACAAAAAUAUUUCCGAAAAUGUUAAUAGUGACAAAGAUGCUGGCUUCGCAACGGUGGAAGAAUCAACAAUUGAAAAGAAGAAUGUAAACAGAGGUUUGUAUUUUUAAUUCGUUUCAGUCUGGUCAGAUAUGGAUUUAGUCGCACAAGCUACGCUUUUCUUCAGCGCUGGUUUCGAAACAGUGUCAACGAGCAUGGCCUUUUCGUUACAUGAACUAGCUCUUCACCCAGACGUUCAGGAGCGACUUUAUAAAGAAAUCAAAAAUAAUCAUGUCAAAAAUGGUGGCAAGCUGAGUUACGCAAUUAUACAGAACAUGACGUACUUAGAUAUGGUAGUUUCUGAAGUAUUAAGGAUAUGGCCUCCAGGCUCGGCCUUAGAUAGAGUUUGUGUUAAGGACUACAAUUUGGGUAAACCUAAUGACAAAUCUACCGAAGAUUACAUUAUUCGAAAAGGAGAAAAUCUUUGGGUUCCAGCGUGGUGCUUCCAUCGUGAUCCCAAAUAUUUUCCAGAUCCUGAACGAUUUGAUCCCGAACGUUUUUCCGAUGAGAAUAAACACCUAAUUAACUCUAUUGCGUAUAUGCCUUUUGGGCUGGGCCCAAGAAAUUGUAUUGGUUCUCGAUUUGCGUUAUGCGAGUUAAAGGUCCUAUUGUAUCAGAUCUUGUUGCACAUCGAAGUGUCACCGUCGGUGAAGACCCAGCUUCCGUCACGAUUGUCCAUAGAAUCUUUUAAUCCUCGUCUUGUAGGAGGUCACUGGUUGACAUUCAAAUUACGAAAGAUGUUCUUCUUGAUAUGGUCCGUCGUGCUUCUAGCAGUGUUUAUACUCCAACUAUACAAGAGUUAUUCAAGAUUCAGCGAUUAUGGUGUCAGGCACCAUACUGUUGUUCCGUUCUUGGGCAACAUGGCAAGGCUAAUUUUUCGCAUAGACAACUUUAACAACGAUAUAGACAGAUACUACUACGGUUUCCCCGAUGAAAGGUUUGUGGGAAAGUAUGAAUUUUUGAAACCAGUCAUAGUUGUAAAAGACUUAGAAUUGAUGAAAAAAAUUACAAUCAAGGACUUUGAACACUUUGUCGACCACCGAAAUUUUACGGACGAAAAAGUUGAGCCACUAUUUGGACGAAGCUUGUUCUCUUUAAAAGGACAAGAAUGGAAAGAUAUGAGAACAACUUUAAGUCCAGCGUUUACGAGCUCAAAGAUAAAGCUGAUGGUGCCUUUUAUGGAAGAAGUUGGGCAGCAAAUGAUACGAGCAUUGAAAAACAGGUUCAAAGAGUCCAAUACUGGCUCUAUUGACAUCGACUGCAAAGAUCUGACGUCACGCUAUACUAAUGACGUCAUUGCUUCUGUCGCUUUCGGGCUGAAGGUGGACUCACAUGCUGACAAAAACAAUAAAUUCUUUGAAAUGGGGAAGAAAGCUACAAGUUUCCAACUCAGAUUUGUUUUGGUGUUCUUCAUGAAUUCUGCUUGUCCUGCCAUCGCUAGAUUAUUGGGGCUUACUAUGAUUUCGAAUGAAUUUAACAAUUUCAUUUCCAACUUGUUUGUAAAUACAAUGAAAGAUAGAGAGACAAAGCACAUCCUUAGAAACGACAUGAUACAUCUUCUCUUACAGGCGAAAAAAGGUCAACUUUCUCAUGACGACAAAAAUACUUCCGAUAUUGACGACAGCGGUAGAGGUGCUGGGUUUGCAACGGUGGAAGAAUUAUCCGUUGGAAAGAAGACUGUAAAUAGAGUUUGGAGCGACAAAGACCUGAUAGCACAAGCCAUGCUUUUCUUCAUCGCUGGCUUCGAAGCGAUUUCAAUAAGCAUAUGCUUCGUGUUACACGAACUGGCCCUCCACCCUGAUGUACAGGAGAGACUUUACAAGGAGGUCAAAGAGCAUGAUAUUGAAAACGGCGGCAAGCUGGACUAUACGGCCAUACACAAGAUGACGUAUCUAGAUAUGGUUGUCUCUGAAGUAUUAAGGAUGUGGCCGCCAACUGCUGCUUUGGACAGAAUUUGCGUUAAAGACUACAACAUGGGGAAACCUAACGAUAAAUCUACCCAAGAUUAUAUUAUACGAAAAGGAGAAUCAAUCUCUAUUCCAACGUGGAGCAUUCAUUAUGAUCCCAAAUAUUUCCCGAACCCUCAAAAAUUUGAUCCUGAACGGUUCUCAGACGAGAAUAAACACCUUAUAAACACUACAGCUUAUGCGCCUUUUGGACUGGGCCCUAGAAAUUGCAUUGGUUCCAGGUUCGCCCUGUGUGAGCUGAAGGUGCUAUUGUAUCAGAUCUUGCUGCAUGUUGAGUUGUCACCCUCGGCCAAGACCCGACUCCCCGCUAAACUGGCUAAGGGAGCUUUUAACGCUCGCCUUGAAGGAGGACACUGGCUGACAUUUAAACUUCGAGAUUGAUAUAUUUUUAUUCUUAUCAUAAUCUUCACAAUAAUUAAAAACGAUUUUUAUUAACAAUUAAAUUAA